rnacentral:lncRNA from 1 species
UGAUGCCACCCCACCAUGGUGGCAGCUGGAUGAGUCCCCUUGGUGCCCACCAGGCUGAGGGGAGACCUCGAGUAUUGCCUAAAAUGACUGUAUUUCCCUCCAUAUGAAUUUUAGGGAGGCCGAGGACCUGAUGGCCCAAAGGGAAGCCCAGGACCGCGGGGAGCCCGGGGCCGUGUGGGUCAGCGUGGGCUGGUCGGUGUCCCUGGGCUGCCUGGCUUGCGGGGCGUCCUGGGAGUGGAAGGUGCAGAAGGAAAGCCUGGUACACAGGUUCCCAUCCUACACUCUGUACUUGACUGUGGGCAAGGGCCGGGGUGGUGGGUUGUAUCAAGAGGGGGAGCUGAGCCCAACUGGGAGGGUCUUCCUAACCCAACCCAUGGCCAUGUGGGUCAAGAACUUGACACCAUGAUGUUGGCCUCACUGUGACAUGCAGAGCCAGGCUGUCCCCAGGGGUGUCCCCGCAUGGAGGAGUGAUCCCAUGUGCAUGAGCUGGCACAGCGGGACAGGGAGACCAUCCUCUGCCUCCC